ACAAGUUGUACGACAACAAGAGUAUGUUAGACAAGUUUCAGACCUGACACAACUCAUCUAGAAGAAGUAAACUAAAACAAAGACAGGCCCGUGAACGUGGAGUAAAUAAAAAGAUAACGAGAAUCUCAGGAACCACUUCCAUGGAGUCUACACUCGCUGUUUUCUCAAUCGUCUCGGCAACAACGACGGCCAGAACAACUGGUCCUUCAUUGCCUCUCAUCACUAGUCACAAUUCCGGCGCCAGACACGUCCACCCUCUAUUGCUCGCUCGCUCCUCUCCGGCCGUUCGCGGUCUUGGUGGCUUGGGAGCUGCUGGUUUGCCGGUGAACCGACGCCGUUUGCAAUGUUUGCCCAGCUCAUCUCCCUCAUUCAGUGGCGGCGGUGCUGGAUUCGGCGGGUAUAGCGGCGGAAGCGGCGGUGGAGGUGGAGGAGGAUCGGAUAGUGGUGAUUCAAAGUCGAAAUUGGGUGCUGGAGCAGGUGAUGGCGGCGUCUCUGUUCCAUCUUCAGACAUCAUUGUUCUCAAUGUCGGAGGGAUGACAUGUGGUGGUUGUUCAGCAAGUGUGAAGAAGAUCCUGGAGAGCCAACCACAAGUUGCUUCUGCUAGUGUUAACCUCACCACCGAGACAGCAAUAGUGUGGCCUGUACCGGAAGCCAGAAGUGUACCUGAUUGGCAAAAGACUUUAGGCGAGACCCUUGCUAAUCAUCUCACCAACUGCGGUUUUCAGUCUACUCCUCGAGGUGAGACGGUCCAGCAAAGGUUCAUUUGGAAUCAAUCAGGAUAGUCCAGAGAUGAACAUUUAGUUAGCUACUAAGAUGACUGCAUGAUACAGAGACUAAUACCAGUUGAACUUUAGUAUAGCCCUGUGAAUUGGUUUAGCCUCUUAUUAAUUUUAUUUGGAAACAUGGUGCCUUAAUUAAGAUUUAAUUUUCCAACAAUGCUAAUUGAUUGAAAGUAAAAAACACAAGUCUCGUUAUCUUUUUGUGAAUCCUGGUUGCUGUAGGGGAAGUUCCUGAAGAUAUUGCUGGAGAGAUUGCACCGUAACAGUAUGAAAAAUUUCGCCAGCAGCAAUAACUAAAGAUAUGAUGAUUAAGAGCAAUUGCUAGUGAGGAAUGGAUUGUGAACAUAAGUUUCUGGUUCUUGUGGUAAUUUGUUGUCAGUCUCCUUUGUGAUAUAUUGGUUUAUUGGUUAUCAUAAGGCCAUGUAUUUAUCUUAUGUUUUCCAUUGAUGUCAUUCCUUCUCUGGACCAGACAGCAUAAUCUUGUUCUAUAACAAAACAAUUAGUGGUGUCACCUGAGGACCCUCUUUGUUAUCUUUUACU